rnacentral:rRNA from 1 species
GGUUAAGCGACCAAGCGUACACGGUGGAUGCCCUGGCAGUCAGAGGCGAUGAAGGACGUGCUAAUCUGCGAUAAGCGCCGGUAAGGUGAUAUGAACCGUUAUAACCGGCGAUUUCCGAAUGGGGAAACCCAGUGUGAUUCGUCACACUAUCAUUAACUGAAUCCAUAGGUUAAUGAAGCGAACCGGGGGAACUGAAACAUCUAAGUACCCCGAGGAAAAGAAAUCAACCGAGAUUCCCCCAGUAGCGGCGAGCGAACGGGGAGGAGCCCAGAGCCUGAAUCAGCAUGUGUGUUAGUGGAAGCGUCUGGAAAGGCGCGCGAUACAGGGUGACAGCCCCGUACACAAAAGCGCAUAUGCUGUGAGCUCGAUGAGUAGGGCGGGACACGUGGUAUCCUGUCUGAAUAUGGGGGGACCAUCCUCCAAGGCUAAAUACUCCUGACUGACCGAUAGUGAACCAGUACCGUGAGGGAAAGGCGAAAAGAACCCCGGCGAGGGGAGUGAAACAGAACCUGAAACCGUGUACGUACAAGCAGUGGGAGCACAGGUUUACCUGUGUGACUGCGUACCUUUUGUAUAAUGGGUCAGCGACUUAUAUUCUGUAGCAAGGUUAACCGCAUAGGGGAGCCGAAGGGAAACCGAGUCUUAAUUGGGCGUUAAGUUGCAGGGUAUAGACCCGAAACCCGGUGAUCUAGCCAUGGGCAGGUUGAAGGUUGGGUAACACUAACUGGAGGACCGAACCGACUAAUGUUGAAAAAUUAGCGGAUGACCUGUGGCUGGGGGUGAAAGGCCAAUCAAACCGGGAGAUAGCUGGUUCUCCCCGAAAGCUAUUUAGGUAGCGCCUCGUGAAUUCAUCUCCGGGGGUAGAGCACUGUUUCGGCUAGGGGGCCAUCCCGGCUUACCAACCCGAUGCAAACUGCGAAUACCGGAGAAUGUUAUCACGGGAGACACACGGCGGGUGCUAACGUCCGUCGUGAAGAGGGAAACAACCCAGACCGCCAGCUAAGGUCCCAAAGUCAUGGUUAAGUGGGAAACGAUGUGGGAAGGCCCAGACAGCCAGGAUGUUGGCUUAGAAGCAGCCAUCAUUUAAAGAAAGCGUAAUAGCUCACUGGUCGAGUCGGCCUGCGCGGAAGAUGUAACGGGGCUAAACCAUGCACCGAAGCUGCGGCAGCGACACUGUGUGUUGUUGGGUAGGGGAGCGUUCUGUAAGCCUGUGAAGGUGGCCUGUGAGGGCUGCUGGAGGUAUCAGAAGUGCGAAUGCUGACAUAAGUAACGAUAAAGCGGGUGAAAAGCCCGCUCGCCGGAAGACCAAGGGUUCCUGUCCAACGUUAAUCGGGGCAGGGUGAGUCGACCCCUAAGGCGAGGCCGAAAGGCGUAGUCGAUGGGAAACGGGUUAAUAUUCCCGUACUUGGUGUUACUGCGAAGGGGGGACGGAGAAGGCUAUGUUGGCCGGGCGACGGUUGUCCCGGUUUAAGCGUGUAGGCUGACUUUCCAGGCAAAUCCGGAGAGUCAAGGCUGAGGCGUGACGACGAGGCACCACGGUGCUGAAGCAACAAAUGCCCUGCUUCCAGGAAAAGCCUCUAAGCAUCAGGUAACAUCAAAUCGUACCCCAAACCGACACAGGUGGUCAGGUAGAGAAUACCAAGGCGCUUGAGAGAACUCGGGUGAAGGAACUAGGCAAAAUGGUGCCGUAACUUCGGGAGAAGGCACGCUGACACGUAGGUGAAGUGGUUUACCCAUGGAGCUGAAGUCAGUCGAAGAUACCAGCUGGCUGCAACUGUUUAUUAAAAACACAGCACUGUGCAAACACGAAAGUGGACGUAUACGGUGUGACGCCUGCCCGGUGCCGGAAGGUUAAUUGAUGGGGUCAGCGCAAGCGAAGCUCCUGAUCGAAGCCCCGGUAAACGGCGGCCGUAACUAUAACGGUCCUAAGGUAGCGAAAUUCCUUGUCGGGUAAGUUCCGACCUGCACGAAUGGCGUAAUGAUGGCCAGGCUGUCUCCACCCGAGACUCAGUGAAAUUGAACUCGCUGUGAAGAUGCAGUGUACCCGCGGCAAGACGGAAAGACCCCGUGAACCUUUACUAUAGCUUGACACUGAACAUUGAGCCUUGAUGUGUAGGAUAGGUGGGAGGCUUUGAAGCGUGGACGCCAGUCUGCGUGGAGCCGGCCUUGAAAUACCACCCUUUAAUGUUUGAUGUUCUAACGUGGACCCGUAAUCCGGGUUGCGGACAGUGUCUGGUGGGUAGUUUGACUGGGGCGGUCUCCUCCUAAAGAGUAACGGAGGAGCACGAAGGUUGGCUAAUCCUGGUCGGACAUCAGGAGGUUAGUGCAAUGGCAUAAGCCAGCUUGACUGCGAGCGUGACGGCGCGAGCAGGUGCGAAAGCAGGUCAUAGUGAUCCGGUGGUUCUGAAUGGAAGGGCCAUCGCUCAACGGAUAAAAGGUACUCCGGGGAUAACAGGCUGAUACCGCCCAAGAGUUCAUAUCGACGGCGGUGUUUGGCACCUCGAUGUCGGCUCAUCACAUCCUGGGGCUGAAGUAGGUCCCAAGGGUAUGGCUGUUCGCCAUUUAAAGUGGUACGCGAGCUGGGUUUAGAACGUCGUGAGACAGUUCGGUCCCUAUCUGCCGUGGGCGCUGGAAGACUGAGGGGGGCUGCUCCUAGUACGAGAGGACCGGAGUGGACGCAUCACUGGUGUUCGGGUUGUCAUGCCAAUGGCACUGCCCGGUAGCUAAAUGCGGAAGAGAUAAGUGCUGAAAGCAUCUAAGCACGAAACUUGCCCCGAGAUGAGUCUUCCCUGAGACUAUAAGUCUCCUGAAGGAACGUUGAAGACGACGACGUUGAUAGGCCGGGUGUGUAAGCGCAGCGAUGCGUUGAGCUAACCGGUACUAAUGAACCGUGAGGCUUAACCUU